rnacentral:rRNA from 1 species
GACAGUUGGAAACGACUGCUAAGACUGGAUAGGAGACAAGAAGGCAUCUUCUUGUUUUUAAAAGACCUAGCAAUAGGUAUGCUUAGGGAGGAGCUUGCGUCACAUUAGUUAGUUGGUGGGGUAAAGGCCUACCAAGACUAUGAUGUGUAGCCGGGCUGAGAGGUUGAACGGCCACAUUGGGACUGAGACACGGCCCAAACUCCUACGGGAGGCAGCAGUAGGGAAUUUUCGGCAAUGGAGGAAACUCUGACCGAGCAACGCCGCGUGAACGAUGAAGUAUUUCGGUACGUAAAGUUCUUUUAUUAGGGAAGAAUAAAUGAUGGAAAAAUCAUUCUGACGGUACCUAAUGAAUAAGCCCCGGCUAACUAUGUGCCAGCAGUCGCGGUAAUACAUAGGGAGCAAGCGUUAUCCGGAAUUAUUGGACGUAAAGGGUGCGUAGGCGGUUAAAUAAGUUUAUGGUCUAAGUGCAAUGCUUAACAUUGUGAUGCUAUAAAAACUGUUUAACUAGAGUAAGAUAGAGGCAAGUGGAAUUCCAUGUGUAGUGGUAAAAUGCGUAAAUAUAUGGAGGAACACCAGUAGUGAAGGCGGCUUGCUGGGUCUUUACUGACGCUGAGGCACGAAAGCGUGGGGAGCAAACAGGAUUAGAUACCCUGGUAGUCCACGCCGUAAACGAUGAGUACUAAAUGUUGGGUAAAACCAGUGUUGAAGUUAACACAUUAAGUACUCCGCCUGAGUAGUACGUACGCAAGUAUGAAACUUAAAGGAAUUGACGGGACUCCGCACAAGCGGUGGAUCAUGUUGUUUAAUUCGAAGGUACCCGAAAAACCUCACCAGGUCUUGACAUGCUUCUGCAAAGCUGUAGAAACACAGUGGAGGUUAUCAGUUGCACAGGUGGUGCAUGGUUGUCGUCAGCUCGUGUCGUGAGAUGUUGGGUUAAGUCCCGCAACGAGCGCAACCUUUAUUGUUAGUUACCAGCACGUAAUGGUGGGGACUUUAGCAAGACUGCCAGUGAUAAAUUGGAGGAAGGUGGGGACGACGUCAAAUCAUCAUGCCCCUUAUGACCUGGGCUACAAACGUGAUACAAUGGCUGUUACAAAGGGUAGCUGAAGCGCAAGUUUUUGGCGAAUCUCAAAAAAACAGUCUCAGUUCGGAUUGAAGUCUGCAACUCGACUUCAUGAAGUUGGAAUCGCUAGUAAUCGCGAAUCAGCAUGUCGCGGUGAAUACGUUCUCGGGGUUUGUACACACCGCCC